rnacentral:rRNA from 1 species
GACGAACGCUGGCGGCGUGCUUAACACAUGCAAGUCGAACGGAAAGGCCCUGCUUUUGUGGGGUGCUCGAGUGGCGAACGGGUGAGUAACACGUGAGUAACCUGCCCUUGACUUUGGGAUAACUUCAGGAAACUGGGGCUAAUACCGGAUAGGAGCUCCUGCUGCAUGGUGGGGGUUGGAAAGUUUCGGCGGUUGGGGAUGGACUCGCGGCUUAUCAGCUUGUUGGUGGGGUAGUGGCUUACCAAGGCUUUGACGGGUAGCCGGCCUGAGAGGGUGACCGGCCACAUUGGGACUGAGAUACGGCCCAGACUCCUACGGGAGGCAGCAGUGGGGAAUAUUGCACAAUGGGCGGAAGCCUGAUGCAGCAACGCCGCGUGCGGGAUGACGGCCUUCGGGUUGUAAACCGCUUUCGCCUGUGACGAAGCGUGAGUGACGGUAAUGGGUAAAGAAGCACCGGCUAACUACGUGCCAGCAGCCGCGGUGAUACGUAGGGUGCGAGCGUUGUCCGGAUUUAUUGGGCGUAAAGGGCUCGUAGGUGGUUGAUCGCGUCGGAAGUGUAAUCUUGGGGCUUAACCCUGAGCGUGCUUUCGAUACGGGUUGACUUGAGGAAGGUAGGGGAGAAUGGAAUUCCUGGUGGAGCGGUGGAAUGCGCAGAUAUCAGGAGGAACACCAGUGGCGAAGGCGGUUCUCUGGGCCUUUCCUGACGCUGAGGAGCGAAAGCGUGGGGAGCGAACAGGCUUAGAUACCCUGGUAGUCCACGCUGUAAACGGUGGGUACUAGGUGUGGGGUCCAUUCCACGGGUUCCGUGCCGUAGCUAACGCUUUAAGUACCCCGCCUGGGGAGUACGGCCGCAAGGCUAAAACCCAAAGGAAUUGACGGGGCCCCGCACAAGCGGCGGAGCAUGCGGAUUAAUUCGAUGCAACGCGUAGAACCUUACCUGGGUUUGACAUGGAUCGGGAGUGCUCAGAGAUGGGUGUGCCUCUUUUGGGGUCGGUUCACAGGUGGUGCAUGGCUGUCGUCAGCUCGUGUCGUGAGAUGUUGGGUUAAGUCCCGCAACGAGCGCAACCCUUGUUCACUGUUGCCAGCACGUUAUGGUGGGGACUCAGUGGAGACCGCCGGGGUCAACUCGGAGGAAGGUGGGGAUGACGUCAAGUCAUCAUGCCCCUUAUGUCCAGGGCUUCACGCAUGCUACAAUGGCUGGUACAGAGAGUGGCGAGCCUGUGAGGGUGAGCGAAUCUCGGAAAGCCGGUCUCAGUUCGGAUUGGGGUCUGCAACUCGACCUCAUGAAGUCGGAGUCGCUAGUAAUCGCAGAUCAGCAACGCUGCGGUGAAUACGUUCCCGGGGCU